rnacentral:misc_RNA from 1 species
AACGCACAUUGCGCCCCUUGGUAUUCCAUGGGGCAUGCCUGUUCGAGCGUCAUCUACACCCUCAAGCUCUGCUUGGUGUUGGGCGUCUUUGUCCCGCCUCCGCGCGCGGACUCGCCCCAAAUUCAUUGGCAGCGGUCCUUGCCUCCUCUCGCGCAGCACAUUGCGCUUCUCGAGGUGUUGCGGCCCGCGUCCAGAAAGCAAUCGUUACCGUCUUUGACCUCGGAUCAGGUAGGGAUACCCGCUGAACUUAA